CCAAAAUUCUCAACUUCAAUAAAAUUAUAUUCAUAUUACUACUACUAUUUCUUCUUCUUCUUCUUUACUCCAAAGUGAAAUAUUAGGGGAAAAUCAAGAUUUUGUUGAGGAGAGUGAUGUCUGGUUCGAAAUCAUUUUAUAGAAAGUUAGUGAGGAUCGAUCGAUCCAAUUAUUGGUGUCUGGGUCAUUGAACUUUAUGUAUGUAUGAAAAGUUGUUAAUGCACCAGUUGCCACAGGUGGGCAUGCAUAAUUGCAGGCAGGGCAAUGAAGUAGAUAAUUAGAUAGACCACAUUUUUGAUGAAACCAUUUCAAAGAUUAGUCGUUUGGUAGUUGGUUUGGAGAAAUAUUAUGCAUGUAUUAGAUGUUGUAUAAGCAAAAUACCACUAGUUCCUUGGGACUACAAUAACCCGCAAAGUGGGGUCUGGGGAGGGUAGAAUAUACACAGUCCAUAUACCACUACCUCAGAUGAAGUAGAAAAGUUGUUUCCGAUAUACCCCCGGCUCAGGACAUAUAGUAGUUCCUUGGGACUAUGUAUAAAAUUAAUACGAGUACUGUGUUUUGAUUUACAAUUGAGAAACCCGCAUAACUAAUAUAUGUAUUGGUUAUGAGGAAA